rnacentral:lncRNA from 12 species
CCCACUUAUUAAAGAUAAUUCCUUCCUUUGUUCCAGUGAAUAAUAUGGAUCUUUGAUUUUUGAAAAAGUGUGUUUAGUGACAUUUAACCCAGAACUUUAGGUCCACAUUACCUAUAAGGAUGUGAGAUUUCCGUGUGGCAUUGAGCAUCUGCUUAGAUUUGAAGGACUAGGUCUCCCAUUAGAGGUCUUACAGACUGGGGGAAAGAUGAUUUUACUAUGCAUUUUGAUGGUGAUGUUUCAGUGUAUGUUCUAUUAACUUGAUCCUUUUAUUACAUAAUGCUGAGUGUUAUUUCAUAUCCUUGGAACUUCGGUAAUAUAGUGUAUUAUCCUUGAAGUCCCAGGGGAACAUAUUUUCCCCACCGAAAAUCAUCAGCUAACAGCUUAGCUCUGUUGCAAUCAAGAGGAAAUGCUGGACUUACUUUAGAUGAGCAGUUUGGAUAACAAUGUGCAGACUCCCCUGUGGAACAGUCAUAAGGAAACCAGCUGACGUAAGAGAAUGAAGACAUCCAAAAGCACUGUUUAAGCAAACUUGAGCUAAAGUAGGUUGAGCAGUUGGUCACAGUCUCUUAGAGCAAAUGGAAACAGCAGCGAAGUACAGAAUGGAAGGAGGGAGCCUCGCUUCUCACCUCUGCGUUAUUACCACUGUGAAGAGAGGGAUGGAAGGACUGAUUACCAAUUGUGAGGAAAUUCAACCUUUUUUUAACAGUGUCUGCAGUCGCAAUCAAGGCAACUUCCCAGUGACUCACAGGUGACAGUCAGGAAUCCUAAAUCAAAAAAAGAAAUGCUGUGAUCAGGAUGCAGCUUUCUGAGGUGCUUAGAAAUGGAAAGAUGCUUUUGGAAACCUUGCUGGACUGAAGAAUUAGACUGAAAUUCCCAGACUCCAAUAAAAAUAUGGCAUAGCAAAGUGCUGGCUAAAUGAUGCCUAAGCAGUCAAACACAUUGUCCUGGCCAUUACUGAAAGCUGCUGGUUCUGUGAUUUCUGCUACUUCUACCAGCAGUGGCUGCAGUCAUAGUGAGCAAGAGGCAUAUAAGAACCACUGAUCUGGAUGAUUUUACUUCAUCUGAAAACUGAGGUAAUGUGUUCUUACAUUUCUCUAAGAAAAACAGGAGUGCACUAACGAGCAUGAAGAAUCUACAGAGCUGAUUGGAGCAAUGUAAGGUACAUGGUGGAAAGAGAAUAUAAGCAGUGUUAGUUGGGUAAAGAUAAAACAGGAGACCAUAACCUAAACAUAAAAUAGAAUAUAAGCAGUGUUAGUUGGGUAAAGAUAGAACAGGAGACCAUAACCUAAACAUAUUUAAUGUGUCACAUUUGGUGCUUUAUUUACUCAUUCUCCUAAUGAAUGCAGCAAGACUAAAAUGCUAAGCAGAAACACCACUAUUGAAAAAAAUGGAGGACAGCUGCUGGGAGAGAAACAUUCAAGACCCAGAAGUACCAAUAUAUUAAAGGAUUUAAAGGGAUAACAAAAGUUUUUUAUGAAUUUCUGAUCAUCUUUGUUUAAUAAUAAUAUUGCCUAAGGAAAACAGAAGAGUGCAUGAAGCAGCUAGCAGUGACCAUUUUAAAAUAUUGCUUGCCCAAUCAUCCAUGCUGCUGAAUUAUACAACUCCUACUGAAAUAAAUAGGAACUGCUGCUGCUGAGCCUUGUUAUAAAUGAGGUCACCCGAGAAAUUGUUGAAUAGCUGAUCUAUGACAGAUAGUUAUUAGGGAGUCUUAAAUUCAGAUAAUGCUUAUAGUGAAGUGGUGGCUGAGUCUUGUGUACAUUUUACCUGUUU